rnacentral:rRNA from 1 species
UACGUAGGGUGCGAGCGUUGUCCGGAAUUAUUGGGCGUAAAGAGCUUGUAGGCGGUUUGGCGCGUCUGCUGUGAAAAUCCGGGGCUUAACCCCGGACCUGCAGUGGGUACGGGCAGACUAGAGUGUGGUAGGGGAGACUGGAAUUCCUGGUGUAGCGGUGAAAUGCGCAGAUAUCAGGAGGAACACCGAUGGCGAAGGCAGGUCUCUGGGCCACUACUGACGCUGAGAAGCGAAAGCAUGGGGAGCGAACAGG